rnacentral:rRNA from 1 species
AUUGAACGCUGGCGGCAGGCCUAACACAUGCAAGUCGAGCGAGUGGCGGACGGGUGAGUAAUGUAUGGGAAUCUGCCUGAUGGAGGGGGAUAACUACUGGAAACGGUGGCUAAUACCGCAUACUAUCGGAUGUGCCCAUAUUUGAUUAGCUAGUAGGUGGGGUAAAGGCUCACCUAGGCGACGAUCCCUAGCUGGUCUGAGAGGAUGACCAGCCACACUGGAACUGAGACACGGUCCAGACUCCUACGGGAGGCAGCAGUGGGGAAUAUUGCACAAUGGGCGCAAGCCUGAUGCAGCCAUGCCGCGUGUGUGAAGAAGGCCUUCGGGUUGUAAAGCACUUUCAGCGAGGAGGCGUUACUCGCAGAAGAAGCACCGGCUAACUCCGUGCCAGCAGCCGCGGUAAUAC